UAGGGAAUAUUGCAAAAUGGGCGAAAGCCCGAUGCAGCAACGCCGCGUGGGCGAUGAAGGCCUUCGGGUCGUAAAGCCCUUUUUGAGGGGAUGAGGAAGGACAGUACCCUCAGAAUAAGCCUCGGCUAACUACGUGCCAGCAGCCGCGGUAAAACGUAGGAGGCGAGCGUUAUCCGGAUUUACUGGGCGUAAAGCGCGUGCAGGCGGAUUGGAGAGUUGGAUGUGAAAGCUCCCGGCUUAACUGGGAGAGGUCGUUCAAUACUUCCAGUCUUGAGUGCAGUAGAGGGAAGUGGAAUUCCGGGUGUAGUGGUGAAAUGCGUAGAUAUCCGGAGGAACACCAGUGGCGAAAGCGGCUUCCUGGACUGUAACUGACGCUGAGGCUCGAAAGCGUGGGGAGCAAACA
rnacentral:rRNA from 1 species